GCCGUUAGAUGCAAUUAAAUCAAUGGUCGAAAUGUUCUCUUUUUUUCUCUCCUUCUCGCCCGUCUUUGUCUCUGUCACAGAUCUCUCUCUCUCUCUCUCUCUCUCUCUCUCUCUCUCAGACGUGAAUCUCACACAUACAUGUUUCUCUGUCUCACUCUCCUAAUCUCUCUCCCACAUACAUGUUUCUCGCUCUCUUUCCUAACUCCAAAUCUCGAUUAAUACCUUGAUUUUUUUUUUUGUAUUCUUGUUACAGGAAGCUUAUUAGCAAGGAGCUUUCUGUUCUGUUCGGAUUCAACGAUAGAAUGUUGGAACCCCUAAUCCCUCUCUGCUUUGGUGUUGUCUCUCUCUGUCUCUCUCUCUCACCAUCUCUCGAUCACUGAAGCAAGUUUUCUACUUUGGCAUCUCUCAGCUCUUAGUUAAAGAAGGCGGAGGAGGCUGAAGAAGCUUGAUGGUGGUGGUUUCGGAGUCAACUGCGGUGGUCUCGACGUCGACAACGGUGGCUGAGCGCAGUGGAGGAGACUGAAGAAGCUUUACCGUGGUGGUCGUGGCUGGCGGCGAAUAGUGGUGUAGAGAUAGGGCUAAUUUUUUUAAAGGUUAAACCGGUUUAGUUUUUUAGAUUUCUAAACUAGGUUUAGGUGUAAACUUUAGGUUAAGUAUGGUUUGGUUUAAUGUUUGUAAUUAGUUUUUGGUUUAAUGUGUUCUUUAAUUAUUUGUAUACUGAUUUUAAUCAAUAAAUAAAAUUUAAUUUUUAUUUA